AUGAAAAACAACAGAAUCUCACCACAGAUUCUCAGAUAGAGUAAAAACAACACCUAGACCUUUCUUUUAAUUUUCUGUAGAAUUUGGUCAAGUUUGAAACUUUUUUCAAAAUCUUGAAAGGCUUCCUUUAGCAGGAGUCCUGUCCUGGAAUGAACACUGAAGUCCUCUAACAUGCUAAGGAAACCCCUGUCCCCAGUGAGCCUGGUCCAGCUGCCCUUCUGGGUACUCAUUUUCCAGGUUCUUGGGGGUUCUCCUCACUUGGGAAUUCAGCAGCUGCCUACAAUCCAUUCUCUGAAGUGUUGCUGGUUGUGCCCUAUCAGCACAGCAAGAACCCAGAGCCAGCACCUACUCAAGCUGAACUUAACACUCACCUAUCAGCAGGAACAGAGGCUUCAUGUGCAAGAUGAAAGUGGAAGAAAAGACAGAAGACAGAUACAAAGUACAUAUCAUGGUGACACAAGAGGACACCGAGGUUUGCUGCUCAGCCACCAAAGCCUAAGUGAAGCAAAAGUGAAGGUGGCAGCUGUAAACAUCCUACACUCAACACACUGUCAUCACCAAGGAAUCUGAAAGUUAUGCAAUACAACAGGCUUUAAAGCCACCAGGGACCUCCUAACACAAGAUGGAAAUAACUUAUUAUGCAAGUAAGAUUAAAACACUGACCUUGAAUCCAGUCUUUUGCCAAGGGGCAGAGUGUGUGGGGGUGGAAAAUCAACUGUGGUACAGAAGCUUGCACUGUGCUUAGGAAAGCAUAAGAAUUUUCACAAGCAAACGUCUCCAUCAUAUAGGAAAGUGAGCUUUUUAAUAUUUCAUAUGGCAAGGCAUUCCUUAGGAAAUAGCACAGCUUCAGCUCUGCACAGUCAGUGUCAUGUUCCAGGCAGUCCUGCAGUGCUUGCUCCAAGCCCCUCCAGUGUGUGCUGGCCUGCAGAGGCCACCAGAGCAGCAGGGACAGCCCUGGGGAUGGAAGCCCAGCGGAGGCUGGGGGCUGUGCAGAGCCAGGCCAGCUGGGAUUCCCUGGGAGCCGGGGGUGCCAAGGGCCACAGCAGAGAGCCCUUGGAUGGCUCUGUGCUGACAGCUCAGGGCCAGGCUCCCAGUGCCAGCAAUAACCCAGCCGUGCACCACAACCUGGGGCUGUCACACUGCACAGCCCAGAACAGAAGUGCAUUAUAGCCAGUUACUAAGUAGGAAAACAGAAAAAAGGAAAUAUGACUUUUGCCUCAAUGCACUCAUGUGAACACUACUAAUCCUGUCUCUGGCACUCCCAGAGCCUCUGUAAGACCAUCAGUGCUGCACUGACUUCACAUCCAGCAGGUCUGGGCUAUCAUUUGCAUUUGACAAAGACAAAGCAUGACAAAGGAAACUGGCAACACCACAGAAGACCAACAUCUGAACAGCUGGUCCCAAUUUUUGAAACUCUUGCUUCACUGAGACAGGCAGGAGCUUUACAGGUUAAUUCUAUUUUCAAGUAUUCUUUUCUAUGGACAGAGUUUCUUGCAGGGGUUGAGAAUGUCUUUAUCAGCAGCAACAGAGAUCUACUGUCUUAUUCCAGCCAGGCUGGAAUACUGCCUCAAGGUAAUAGUCCUUCUUAUGCUGUUCAGGAUACCAAAAUAUCUUUAAAAAGGGAAUUACAGUUGACUGCUUCACUAGGAAUCUUAAAGAUGCAGAUGAUCUGAAGGCAGGUUUCUUUGGUUAUGUUUGCAGGGGGGGACUGGGGUGUUUUCUGUUUUGUUUGGUUUGGGUGUUUUUGUCAGCUACCCCAAAAAAUUUCUCUUCAUGCAACUCCCAAAAGAGAGCUGAGAGGGGAAGAACCAGAGAGCUGCUGGAAUACAUAUUCAGAAGAAAGACAGAGAGAGCAGACAUGUAAGGAGUGCUCCAUCCCAGGGGAUCUCCAAGCCUGUUCUGCUCAGUCUCCAGACUGGAAACAUAUCUAUUUUCCUUUCACACAUACAUAAAAAAUCGGAUAGAUUAGUAUCUAAGUGGAUAAAUAAGUGUUUCUCCAGAAGUGGGAAAAUUAAUUGGAAUUACUUGUAAUAAUAGCAGAGCUUCACCGAGCCUUAAAGAUUGUUACUGUGAAAUUAAUAAAAAUCAUGCAGUGUUUAAAAUAUUCUGUAUAUUAAACAAACAUGAAAUUUUGCUAAAAGAGGUGGUAGGAAGAAAAACAGGAAAAAAAAGAGAAAAAGAAAAGGCAACAAAUAGAAAUACAAAACAAGAGUUUUGAGUAGAACUAAAGUCAACAGAUGGUUGAUCAUUCUUUAUGAGAAUGUAAUUUUUUUCAACCACUUAAUAUCAGACUGGCUGCUGAAGUUAAGAAUACAAUUAUAGAACAGUUAUUUGUCCUGAUAUUUAAUGGAAAUGUCAAAUAAGAGUGCAGCAGAAAAGGAAAAACCUCUCAAUAAAUCACAACACUAAUCUUAAAGGGAAGUGAGACAAUCUGCUUGAAUUGUAGAAGAAUUACAUCUGCCCUUGGACAUCAUGUAAGUAGUCAAGGGAGGGCCUUGAAGGCAGUAAAGACUGUAAAAGCCAUUCUCAGUGU